rnacentral:lncRNA from 1 species
CUAGCGGAGCAUCCGAGUGCACAGCAAAGCCAAGACAAACACAGCGCUGCUCUCUCCUGAAAAUGUUAGUGGUUUGAAAGAUCUCCGUUGUUGCUCCAUCCCGGAAAAUGAUUCAUCCUCCCCUCGGGGUUUUGACUUGCCUCUGCACGUUUCACAACACUGCCUGGCUUUAUAAGAGCGUGGUUGCACGCGGCGACUCCUAGCAGAUUUCUCGGCUCGGUUGCGAGCGAGGCGGCGGCUAAUCCUUCUAACGAUGAUUUUCCUCUUGCAGCAUUUCAUCUUUCUGGCCAUAGACUUAUUACUCGCGACGACCCUUUCCUGCCUCUUUUAUGCCUUUAUAUGCAUUUCCAUUGCAUUUUUGACCUGCUUCAUUAUCAUCUUCUCCUUCGGCAUUGUGGAGAGGAACAUUGAUGUGAAAGGGAGAGCAAUUGUAGUUCUCGUGUCCAACAGCUCCAUUGGGAGGAUGUUUGCAAGGAACCUGGAUAAAGCAGGUUUCAGGGUGUCUGCUGCACACUGGCCUCCUCGAGAGGAGGGGACAGCUACAGAAGAAGAGUGCUUUUCAAGCACGGAGGUAGCCCAGCUCCACAUGACUGAAGAUGAGUAUCAGAAGACAAUGAAAACCUUCAUAGAAAGCCACUUAUCCCUGAAAGGCUCUGCAGAAGAAGGACAUUUGGGAAGUCAGAGCACGCACCAUGAAGCCUCCCCUACCGCAGACACCCUUCAAAGAGGCGAAGCAUCCCGCAGGCCAGAAGUGCCUGCGGUCAGAUGCUGUGUGACUCUGCAUGGCCCAGGAUACAUCCCCCCGCAGGCUCCUGGAACAGGUGCCCUGCACACCAACAGAUGGUUUCAGACCAAACGCUCAGCUACCUGCAUGAGCAUUUAGCCUAAUUUACCCUAGUAAAAUUGUUCUGGUGAAACUUGCCUGUGUGGACAAGGCCUAGCUGAGUAUCAGCAUACUCUGCUCUGGAAACAAACAAUGGAGACUUUCUUAACCAGUAGUGCUCCGUGGGAGCUGGUGAUUUCUGUGGGCUGGUGCUCUUUCAAUUAAAUGGGGAUCUGGCCCAGUGAUAUCUGUCUUUUUUGCUUUUGAGUAUUUUGAUCACUUGUGCUAGUUAAGGGCUUUUACAGUUCUUUUGGUGGUUUGUUUUUUUUUUUUUUUUUUUUUUUUUUUUUUUCUUUGUUUUUUGACAGGGUACUCUAUUGUAAGAUCUGUAAGAUUUUACAUUUAGGAUCUCCUGCAUAGUAUUCGCAUCACAGAUGGGGAUGUUAAAACAUAUUUCCCGAGCACUGACCCAAUUGCAUGGGAGAUCAAAGCACUGGGCGGGAGGGGGGAGGGUGCAGUGUGUGGCUGUGAGAGAAAAAGAAAAAAAGUAAACCUCACAGUUUUCUUGGAGUUCUUUGUUAACACAGUUUCAAGUGAGUGCUGGUAUUUAUUCUGCAAGAUUUGCUGUCAUAUUUUUGGCAUGGGUUGGGUGACCGUGAACACCUACCGCCAGCUGACUGAUAAUAAAACAAUCUAAACCAAAAAACUCCA